AUUGAACGCUGGCGGAAUGCUUUACACAUGCAAGUCGAGCGGCAGCGCGGGGCAACCUGGCGGCGAGCGGCGAACGGGUGAGUAACAUAUCGGAACGUACCCAUUGGUGGGGGAUAACACAUCGAAAGAUGUGCUAAUACCGCAUACGACCUGAGGGUGAAAGGGGGGGAUCGCAAGACCUCUCGCCGUUGGAGCGGCCGAUAUCGGAUUAGCUAGUUGGUGAGGUAAAGGCUCACCAAGGCGACGAUCCGUAGCUGGUCUGAGAGGACGACCAGCCACACUGGAACUGAGACACGGUCCAGACUCCUACGGGAGGCAGCAGUGGGGAAUUUUGGACAAUGGGGGCAACCCUGAUCCAGCCAUUCCGCGUGAGUGAAGAAGGCCUUCGGGUUGUAAAGCUCUUUCGGCAGGAACGAAACGGUGGCUACUAAUACUAGCUACUAAUGACGGUACCUGAAGAAGAAGCACCGGCUAACUACGUGCCAGCCGCCGCUGUAA
rnacentral:rRNA from 1 species